UUAAAACCUUUUUAUUAUCACAUAUAUGGGGCAAGUAAGAAUUUGUUAGAGUAUGAGAGGUAUAUUAGGUGAUAAUUUGUGUGAAUCUUUAUGAUUUAAUAGGUCGUGCUUUUUAUACUAGCUCUUUAUAGGGUUUCCAGAAGAUUCUCAUUGUAAUCAUAAGAGCGGAGAUAUGUGAUCUUCAGGUCUCCUUUUGAUGUUGGUCGUGUGUCCCUUCAAUCAAAGGAGUGUGAGUUCCAUCUAAUGAUUGCGGCUGCAACAUGAUCGCCAACAAAUGGCUCAAAAUGAGUGCCUAAGUGAGUUAUCAUGAUCAUCACCACUAGAUUCCUUUUUCAUCAAUUUUGUGGUUGCGAUUGGAGGUCCAAGUGUGUUAUGAUGGGCUGCUAUUUCGGAUUCCAUCUUUGUGGGAGACUUGCCCUAAUUUUAGAAAAGGUUAUGCAAUGUUAUUUGAUCGGGUCGGGUCAGCCCAAAUUUGUGUUGGGUUUGGCCUACGUUGGAGUGAGUCUGACCCAUAACGAUUGCCCCUUGAGUCGAUCAUAGAGAAAAUCCAUAGUUGACUUGAGUAGGGAUCUAUCUUACUACAGCUUGAGUGGCUCAUGCCUCCUAACACAACUUUGGGUAUAUUUGCUGGUUUUUCCAAUCUAGGAUUAUAUCGUCUUAUUUAGGAAGAUUCUAGAUUCAAAUUUUUCCUUUUGCCUUUCUUGAUUCCGGAUUAUGAAGGGUCGCUUCAUUUAUGAGCGUGUGACAAUAGUUUCUUUUUUGAGGUGUCUCUUUAGUAACUUUCUUGUGACGCAUGUCAGACAUGAGUAGCCAUCAUUAUUCUAGGCACCUAUUUGAUCUUAGGGUUCUCAGCUUGGGUCUUUUAGGAGCGUUUGAUGCACGUGUUGGGAUUCAUUCUUAUUUUUUAUUUCUAGGUUAAAAAUAGUGGGGAAAUUUUGUGAAUUCUCUUCUUCUUUUUUGAAACUUUUUCAAUCUCUCUGAAAAAUUUUAUGUGUUGUCUUCGCAAGUCGCUCCUUCCUUCUCUGCCAUCUUCAAGAAACUUAUUGGUUAGUUCUUUUUCUUCUCUUUGAUUUGAUUUCAAUGGUACUUGUUAGAGGUGUUUUUUGUUGCUUUAAUCAGGUUUUUGUUUACCAUGUUUGCGAUUUAGAUCCCCGUUCAUGAAAAAUGUUGUGGUGGUUUUGGAAUUCUUCCUUUUCUGCCUAUUGUAAACGGUGAUCUCAGAUUCAUUUUGGGUCUUUUUUGUUUUAUUCUUCAAUCUUUAUUUCUUGCUUUGGCACCUUUUCAUUUUCUUUCAUUCCUUUUUUAUCAAAGGGGGCGAAGGUGUGUAAUUAUUGUUUUGACUCACUCUCAUCCCAUUGGAUCAAAUAGGAUUUGAAAUGGUUUAUAAAAGAGUGUCAACUUCGAAUGUGCAAGUAUUUCCUCUAGACUUUCAAAAUAUGAACUAGGUUAUUGACAAACUCCUUGGAGUUUUUUCUGUCUUCUUGAAGGAGGGGGAAGAUACCUUGGAUGCGUUUAGAAAGGUGGGACCAAAGGAUGAUUGGACUACUAGGAGACCUGAACGAACAAAAAGGAUAUGCAGUGACCCCAAAAAUUGCAAAAUUACUAUGUAUGAAUCUGUCUUUAGGCAUCUGGGAUUCCAUUUUUCCUUUAGAACGUUUGAAAUAAAGAUAUUGGAUCAUAUCCAUCUCCAGCUUGCCUCGUCGCAACUUCAUAUGAAUUGUUGGGAUUAUAUUAUGUAUCAAUAUCUGAAAUUGGCUCCAUGUGAUCCUUUUUUCUUCAACAUCUUCGAAUUACUUUGGCACAAGGAGAACCCCAAGUUGAAAUAGGGACAUGUAUCUUUCAAACAAAAGUUGAAGUGUUUUAUGGCCUUUACCCAUUCAUUGAAAGGGUUCAAAAGGAGAUAUUAUUACAUUGUGGCGAGGUUAGAAGAGGCUCAUAAGAAUAGAUGUGUUAUUAGUCCUAUAUAUGAUUUGAACUCAUGAAUGAAGAUGGUGAGUUGAAACAACUUGUCGGGAUUGAUUUCGAAAGCAAAACAUGGCUUCAUUGUAUUUCAUGAUGAAUUAUAAACCCAAGGGCAUCGGGGCAUCUUCUUCAACUCUGUCUCAUGUUCCUUUACCUCUUUCUCAACAAAAAGGGGAUGCUAGAGAUGAAUCGACAUCAAAAGCCAUUCACGCUUCUCCAUAUUAGUCAAUCCCAAUUUCUAUCAGUAGAAGUUCAAAUUUCAUUGAUCUUGGUGAUGGUCCAAGGUAGAAGAAGAGGAAAACAAGAUAUAUUAGGAAUGCUAGAUUCUAGUUCCUCACACAAAUAAGGGCCUAACAUUGGGGGAUGAGUCUAUUUUGUUCCCUAGCGCUAUCUCCAUUGAGCUGCUCGACGAUCAUGUAGGGCUUAGCGCCAUGGUUAGAGUGAACAAUGUUGUGAGCUUGGCUGAUGCCAUAUCUUAAGAACUAUCUUUGUUGAUUCUUGCGAAGUCCCUAUCUCAUUUAUGUAAGGUCUUUGCGGUGUAUGGUUCAAUGAUGACUGCGGAUCAAGAGUUUUCAUCUAAGGCUUGACCACAAAAAUAUCAUAAUGAACCUCAAGGACAAAUUUUCUCAUGUUAAGGGCUAUCUUAAGGAGGCCAAACAAUAAGCUACUGAAAAAUGCUAAAGAUUUGGAAUCUCUAAAGAAAUAGAAGGAAAAUAUUUCCUCUCAACUAGAUGAAGUCAGGAUGAAGUAAAGAGAAUUCAGUAAUAAUUCAAUGAAGGAAUUCAGUAGUUAUGAUCAAAUUAGAAACGAAUGUUGGAUUUGAAGUGAAGCUUUAUCAUUGAAAUUUUCUUAGUACAAUAUUUCAAUACUAUUAUCCUUGUUAGUUUAAAAAAUUAUUUCAA